UGACUGAGGGGCAGUGUGGGGGCCCCCGUGGUCACGGGAGGGCAUGGAUUUGGCGGCCAUGCCUCCUGCCACAGACUUACACCCUGAGCCUCUGGCCUGAAGUCUCUGGGUGGGCCCAACCAGCUCCCCCUAGGCGGGCCUGGUCUGCUAGGGGGGUCCUCUGUGAGCAGCCAAGCCUAACUUGGCACUAGUCAUUUCUUUACUUCUUCUGGCCUUGGCCUCCAAGCCCCAGCUCAGCUGUGUGUGUGUGUGUGUGUGUGUGUGUGUGUGUGUGUGUGUGUGUGUGUGUGUCUGGGCUCUCCCUGCAGCUCAGCUGUGUGUGUGUGUGUGUGUGUGUGUGUGUGUCUGGGCUCUCCCUGCAGGGUGGGGCAGUGGGUCCAUCUCUGCAUGUCUCUGUCCCAUCUCCCUGUGGCUGUCUGUCCUCAUCUCUCCCUGCAGCUCUCUCCUGCCCAGUUUUCCUGUCUUCUUACAUCCCAGAGGCUGCCUCCGCCGCCACACGCCUCCCUGUCCCUGCAGCGUAUCCCAGGGUCCCUGCACCUCCUCACCUCUGCUCUCCUUCUCAGGGCCACUCCUUACCAGGCCUCCCAGCAGCACAGCUGCACCGUGCCACUGUGUCACUGCUUAUUGUCAUCCUCAGGGCUCUGCACAACAGAGGCCUCCCUACCUUCUGCCUUUGCCUAAAUCUGGCUCCAGCCAACAUGCCACUCCCUCCCACCCUGCUCUUUGGCGGGUCUGAGACAGCCCCACAUUCCCAGCUGCUGGAGGCUGCACUCCGUGUGUGGCCAGGUGGUGGGGGCAGGUGCCAUCCCCUCCCAUGGCCCUGCCAUGCUGGCCACCUCCUGGCUCAGGAGUGCAGGCUGCUA
rnacentral:lncRNA from 1 species